CCAAAAACCAUUCUCCCAAACAAUGCUACUCUAUCCAGUAGUAGACGAUUCUCCAGCCUACCUCUUCUUCUACUUAAUCAUAUUCUUCUUCGUUCUUCUCCUCUUCCGAUUUGCCAUAGUCUUCUUGUUCAUCCUGUUCCUUGUGUUCCUCUGCACCGACGUUGUUUACCUUCUCACUUCGUUUCUAUGUCCUCCAUAACCCGGUUACAGGACAUCAGUGCCAACCCCCUUAAGUAAGAACCCUUUUCUCCAUUAUCAAUUUUUAUGGGCAUAUAAUGGUUCUUUUUCGAUCUUUAUAGUCAUUGUUUAGAGUCUAGCUAUAAUAUUAGUUCAAUUUUUACAGGAAAGGUACAACUUUGAAGCACAAACUACUAUGAAUAUAAUCUUGUACCUUGUGGCUUAUUCAUUGCUUCAACGAUUACUAUAAUCCGAAUUGAAAAUUGUCGAUGAAUUUUUUUAAUUCUCUAUUUGGCAUUGCGAUUGCGUUUUGGUACUAGAUAUGUACGUUUGUGUGAUACAGGUGAGGAUGGCGAUAAAGGAGAGGGAGGGUGCACGAGAUGGGUCGAUCCAGACUUUAAUAAUAAUAAUAUUUUUUUUACAAGUAAAACCUACGUAAUGUUAUAUCUUGUUAAUUGGAUGUAUCAUUGACUCUCCUUAGCUCAACCAUAUGAUUAAUUUGGUGCAUUUUGA
rnacentral:lncRNA from 1 species